UUUAAAAUUUUAUAUUUUAUAUUUUUCAAAUUUAAAUUUGAUCUUAAAUUUAAAGUUUGAAAUUUUAAAUUUUAAAUUUUAAAUUUUAAAUUUGAGAUUUUAAAUUUCAAAUUUUGAAAUUUCAAUGUUAAAAUUUUAAAUUUAAAAAUUCAAAUUUAAAUACAAUAAGAGAGUAAUAUCAUUAUUUUUUUAUUUAUAAAUCCACUAUCUUUCUUAUUCCAUCUUUUCUAACCAAACACUAUUUUUUUAUUCCCAGAAAUAACUUAAUUUUCAUUCAAACGUAAAAUUAAUUUAAUUUUUGCUUAUAUCUUAAUUUAUACUUAUUCCUGAGAUAGCCUCUUUCUGUUUAUUUCCGAACCAAGCGAUACCUUAUAAGAGUAAUUAUAUUUACUAAUAUUUAUGUGAAUUAAGUUG
rnacentral:lncRNA from 1 species